rnacentral:lncRNA from 1 species
AUGAAGUUGAGACAGACGUACCUUGGUCAGAUUAUGAGUAUUACACGGAUACACAGUAUCAGGAUUACGAGUAUGAAACUGCCGCACCGACUUCGGCGUGCCACGAGACAACUGCCGCACCGACUUCGGCGUGCCACGAGACAACUGCCGCACCGACUUCGGCGUGCCACGAGACAACUGCCGCACCGACUUCGGCGUGCCACGAGACAACUGCCGCACCGACUUCGGCGUGCCACGAGACAACUGCCGCACCCACGUCAGCUUGCGCCAUCACGACUGAGUCACCGCUAUCACAUUGCAUCACGACUGCGCUCCCUCCGAAUACGACUGCGCUCCCUCCGAAUACGACUGCGCUCCCUCCGAAUACGACUGCGCUCCCUCCGAAUACGACUGCGCUCCCUCCGAAUACGACUGCGCUCCCUCCGAAUACGACUGCGCUCCCUACCACGACGGUCACGACCACGCUCCCGCCGAAUACGACCACUAUGGUCCCCACCACGACCACGCUCCCGCCGAAUACGACCACUAUGGUCCCCACCACGACCACGCUCCCGCCGAAUACGACCACUACGGUCCCCACCACGACCACGCUCCCGCCGAAUACGACCACUAUGGUCCCCACCACGACGACUCUCCCGCCGACGACGACCACGGCGGUCCCCACCACGACGACUCUCCCGCCGACGACGACCACGGCGGUCCCCACCACGACCACUCUCCCGCCGACGACGACCACGGCGGGUCCCCACCACGACGACUCUCCCGCCGACGACGACCACGGCGGUCCCCACCACGCCGACUCUCCCGCCGACGACGACCACGGCGGUCCCCACCACGACGACUCUCCCGCCGACGACGACCACGGCGGUCCCCACCACGACGACUCUCCCGCCGACGACGACCACGGCGGUCCCCCACCACGACGACUCUCCCGCCGACGACGACCACGGCGGUCCCCACCACGACGACUCUCCCGCCGACGACGACCACGGCGGUCCCCACCACGACGACCUCUCCCGCCGACGACGACCACGGCGGUCCCCACCACGACGACUCUCCCGCCGACGACGACCACGGCGGUCCCCACCACGACGACUCUCCCGCGACGACGACCACGGCGGUCCCCACCACGACGACUCUCCCGCCGACGACGACCACGGCGGGUCCCCACCACGACGACUCUCCCGCCGACGACGACCACGGCGGUCCCCACCACGACGACUCUCCCGCCGCCGACGACCACGGCGGUCCCACCACGAACGACUCUCCCGCCGCCGACGACCACGGCGGUCCCCACCACGACGACUCUCCCGCCGCCGACGACCACGGCGGUCCCCACCACGACGACUCUCCCGCCGACGACGACCACGGCGGUCCCCACCACGACGACUCUCCCGCCGACGACGACCACGGCGGUCCCCCACCACGACGACCUCUCCCGCCGACGACGACCACGGCGGUCCCCACCACGACGACUCUCCCGCCGACGACGACCACGGCGGUCCCCACCACGACGACUCUCCCGCCGCCGACGACCACGGCGGUCCCCACCACGACGACUCUCCCGCCGACGACGACCACGGCGGUACUCAUUAUGACAAAGACUCUCCCGCCGCCGACGACCACGGCGGUCCCCACCACGACCACUCUCCCCCCGACGACGACCACGGCGACCCCCACCACGACCACUCUCCCGCCGACGACGACCACGGCGACCCCCACCACGACCACUCUCCCGCCGACGACCACCACGGCGCUCCCCACCACGACCACUCUCCCGCCGCCGACGACCACGGCGCUCCCCACCACGACCACUCUCCCGCCGACGACCACGGCGGUCCCCACCACGACCACUCUCCCGCCGACGACGACCACGGCGGUCCCCACCACGACUACUCCUCCGACCACCACAGGUGUUGCCACGACCACUUAAGGUGCUGGAGGCACUGCUGCAGCAAAGCUAAAGUGAAGGUGUUUGCAAUAAAAUAUUUCAUUUUAAGUUUUUGUUGCUUCACUUGUGUACAGUCAUUU